UUUUUUUUUUUUUACAAUAGGAUUUUAUGCUUUGUUGAAAUUAGCACUAUUGACUGCAAACACUUCAAUGCACGAUACAAAAAAUCUACAUGCCAGCUUUCAUUAUAUGACAAAAAAAGCUUCAAUUUUUUAGUAACUAAAAACAAUAGAAGGAGCUUCUGUCUUAAAUUUAUGUAGCGAAAUCCUUAUGGAGGUUAAGGCACAUAGGUUCAUUGAAUUUCUUCAUGUAUACCUGGACUUUCACCUGCCUGUGAGGAAUCUUCAGUAAACGAUCUUACCAAUGAGGAUGAAGUGGAAGCCAACUUUUGCAAUAUUUUGUUCUGGGUUUCACGAUAGUAAGUUUCUCUAUGAGGUCUAAACAGUGCUAAUACUUUAGAAACCACGUCCUUCCUUGUAAUAACAGUUUUUUGUUUUACAGAAUUUUCAUUAUUAAUAGCCUUCUCGUCAUUCAGAGGUUUGGCCGUGAUCGUACUGGGUGAGUUCGGAAUAUUGGCAUCUAAAGGGGAGAUCGAAGACUUCACUUCGUUAUAAAGGCUCAUGAAACAGUCAAUAAGAAAAUCAUCGACCUUAAUUGUUGGAUAUAGGCCAUUGUUCAGUUUCCUGAUUUCAUAUACUUGAUGAAGAAGGCUCAACUUUUGUUCAUCUAAUAAACUUAUUUCUUUGUAGACAUAUUUAAAUUCCACAAGUGGUAAAUCAUUAAUCUGAGUCUCUUUUACGGAGUGCUGAAGUCUCAAGUCUUCAAGGUACUUGAUCAUUAUGUCCAGCCAAAUUUGACGGUGUUCAUAAAUAGUGGAGGAUGAACGACGAAAUCUUUUUAAAAACUGCAAAAAGUUUACCUUGUCGUUGGUUUUGUAAAAAAGGGAGAGUAGAUAUCUUGAAUAGGUAGCACCGUAAUAAAAAUGCCGUCCAG